UCCCUGAUGGUCUAGCAGCUAAGGAUCCUAUGCUCUCACUGCAGCUGCCCGGGUUCGAUUCCCAGGCAGAGAA